UUCGUUUCGUUCUGAUCGUGACGUCAUGUAAAAUUUCUCACAGCACGCGCGUCUCUUUGCGUGGAUGGCUGAGCUUCUGCAGAUGUCUCUCUCUCACACCUUCCCUUGACCGCUAAAAUCUUUUCUGUGGGUUCGUGCAUUUGCUACGUCUGCCAAUCCGGAUUCACGCUUCAAAGUGCUGAGGGUUUAUGUGAGGAGUUUUGUAUGCGAUUGCAAGGUCUUGGCACUACUUUUUCGAUUGAUAGGGCAUGUAUUUGUUCAAGACAGUUAUCUCUAAACAGUACCUGGAAACAUUUGCAGGAAGAAACUAUCUACUAGCUAGAAGCAGAAACGGAGAUGGCAGCAGAAAUUGAGACCAAGGAUGUGAAAACACUUCCCUUGUGUGCAUUCAUAUCCUGGUUGGGCAGUUAGACAAAAAGCAGACAUAUCCAUGAACGUGUCCGGUCUUGUUAACUGAAGGCAUGAAAUGCGGAUUGACUAAACGUUGUUACUUUAUCAGCUUUUCAAGUGACUGCCCUCUCCUGAUUCAUAUUUAGUGCUUGAUUUUGCGAAGGUAUUUACAUUCUUAUAAACUCUAAACCCAAAAAGGAUGUCCAGACAAACAGCAAGGUCCUUCUUCCUCGGUGUGUGAGAGCUGAUCCUGAGAAAGGUGACCCUUACAUCCUUUGUGUGAGUGUCCACUUAAUGAUAUAUGCGACACGGUUGAAGACCUAAGACUCAUCUCCACGUCAUUCAAAAUGGCUGGUGCAUGAGGUCUCAUGAGAUACGCAUGUAUUUAAUAUAUUCGACAAGGCUUCGAUGGUGCGUCCAUGUCGAUCAGAGUGUACGCCUCAAAGGGCUUCCGCCAAGGCAUCGGGACUGGACUUGCUGAGAUUAACCCUUAACCCUCUUCAUACUUGAAUUCCAAAACACAUGGGAACUUGUGGUUGGGGUAUAUUAACCCUUUACACUCGUGGGAAUUGGCCUAUAUGGAAUGGGCUGAAUUGAAAUGUUUCUAACAGAAAGAAAUAUGAAACGCAUAUGCAUAAACAUGGUAGCAAUUGAAAGGAAACUGUUUGUAGAUUAUGGGAAAAUUGUUAGACCAAAGGUGAGGACACAACUAUAGCAAAAGCAGAAAUAUGAAUUAAAUCUGAAAAUACUCUGAAUACCAUCAGUAAUAUAAGAAUAUUCCUGGAAAAUAUGGUGUAGGUGCAACACAAACAAAAACAAUUACAAGGGUUUGAGUGAGAGGACUAACUGGUGUCUCCAAGUGGCCGCACACCUCUCUAAAGUGUGCACAGUUCCUAAGUAAUUUCUACGCAUUUUUAUGACUCAAAGAAGAGUCUUCAACUAUAAGGUGUUUUGUCGAGCUCUCCUAGUUGUGCUGCUGAGGAACAAGAGCAAACACACUUGUAGUUGUUUUGUUUGCAACACUUUGCAUCUUCGCGUCACACAAUUACUGUUAUUGUUUACGCCAUUGAGAAACGGUCCAUUAUAAAUCACAGUCUGUGUCAGGUGGGCAUCAUUUGAAAGCAUGUUCUAUUGCCAACAAACUAGCGAAGUUAUAAAAUAUGAUAUUAGGGUUAAUACCUUAACUUGAUUUCCUGAGUUAUAGUUUGAUGUUACUCUGCUGCCUUAAAAUGUUACGUUAUAUCAACCCAGCUAGGCAAUCAAAUAUGUUUCAGUGUAAUAGCUUAUGUCUUACAUGUACAGAACCAGUCAAUGUCACAUGUACAGAACCAGUCAAUGUCACAUGUACAGUACCAGUCAAUGUCACAUGUACAGUACCAGUCAAUGUCACAUGUACAGAA